rnacentral:misc_RNA from 1 species
AUAUUAAUAAAAAAAAAAAAGAAGUAAAGCAAGGUGUGUGUUAAAUCAAUCUCACACCAUGGAUCCAUAAUUUCCUAACUUAGUCACAAAAUGUCCAAUGAAAUAAAGAAGGCUUGGGUCCUCAUAUAUUAUUUUUAAUUGUGUUUGACCAGCUAGGCACAAAAAUGUUAGGUUAUAACUUUUGACUGCUGUUUCUUGAGUUUUCACAAUACAUAGGGAAGGAUUCCAAGCAUAAAUCCCUUUUGUGAAUGAAACGUAAACCCCACCAAUGCCAUCCUACUGGGCAGUGAUAGUACAUGGGAGAAGAAAUAUCUCACUUAAGGUAUUAUCUCCCCAAUAAAGA